UGGGGAAUUUUGGACAAUGGGCGAAAGCCUGAUCCAGCAAUGCCGCGUGUGUGAAGAAGGCCUUCGGGUUGUAAAGCACUUUUGUCCGGAAAGAAAUCCUUGGCUCUAAUACAGUCGGGGGAUGACGGUACCGGAAGAAUAAGCACCGGCUAACUACGUGCCAGCAGCCGCGGUAAUACGUAGGGUGCAAGCGUUAAUCGGAAUUACUGGGCGUAAAGCGUGCGCAGGCGGUUUGCUAAGACCGAUGUGAAAUCCCGGGCUCAACCUGGGAACUGCAUUGGUGACUGGCAGGCUAGAGUAUGGCAGAGGGGGUAGAAUUCCACGUGUAGCAGUGAAAUGCGUAGAGAUGUGGAGGAAUACCGAUGGCGAAGGCAGCCCCCUGGGCCAAGUACUGACGCUCAUGCACGAAAGCGUGGGGAGCAAACAGGAUUAGAUACCCCUGGUAGUCCACGCCCCUAAACGAUGUCAACUAGUUGUUGGGGAUUCAUUUCCUUAGUAACGUAGCUAACGCGUGAAGUUGACCGCCUGGGGAGUACGGUCGCAAGAUUAAAACUCAAAUGAAUUGACGGGGU
rnacentral:rRNA from 1 species